rnacentral:ncRNA from 1 species
UAAAGGUUUGGUCCUGACUUUACUAUCAGUUUUAGCCAAAUUUACACAUGCAAGUAUCCGCACCCCCGUGAGAAUGCCCCACAGUUCCCCGCCCGGGAACAAGGAGCUGGUAUCAGGCACACUCUAUCAAAGCCCAUGACACCUUGCUUAGCCACACCCUCAAGGGAAUUCAGCAGUGAUAAACAUUAAGCUAUAAGUGAAAACUUGACUUAGUCAAAGCUAAAAGGGCCGGUAAAACUCGUGCCAGCCACCGCGGUUAUACGAGAGGCCCAAAUUGAUAGUCUCCGGCGUAAAGCGUGGUUAAGGUAAUUUAAAAACUAAAGCUGAAUAUCUUCAAAGCUGUUAUACGCAUCCGAGGACAAGAAACUCAAUUCACGAAAGUAGCUUUAUAGCCCCUGAACCCACGAAAGCUAUGACACAAACUGGGAUUAGAUACCCCACUAUGCCUAGCCCUAAACAUCGAUAGCAUACUACACUUGCUAUCCGCCUGGGAACUACGAGCACCAGCUUGAAACCCAAAGGACUUGGCGGUGCUUUAGAUCCACCUAGAGGAGCCUGUCCUAGAACCGAUAACCCCCGUUUAACCUCACCCUUCCUUGUUUCUCCCGCCUAUAUACCGCCGUCGUCAGCUUACCCUGUGAAGGGUUUAUAGUAAGCAAAAUUGGCAUAGCCCAAAACGUCAGGUCGAGGUGUAGCGUAUGGAAGGGGAAGAGAUGGGCUACAUUCCCUAAUAAAGGGAAUACGAACGAUGUACUGAAACACACAUCCAAAGGAGGAUUUAGUAGUAAGCAGGAAUUAGAACAUCCCGCUGAAAUCGGCCCUGAAGCGCGCACACACCGCCCGUCACUCUCCCCAAAUCUACAUUAACAAUAUAAUUAAAACCUUAUAACCACAAAGGGGAGGCAAGUCGUAACAUGGUAAGUGUACCGGAAGGUGCACUUGGAAUAAC